rnacentral:rRNA from 1 species
CCUACGGGUGGCAGCAGUGGGGAAUAUUGCACAAUGGGGGCAACCCUGAUGCAGCGACGCCGCGUGAGUGAAGAAGUAUUUCGUUACGUAAAGCUCUAUCAGCAGGGAAGAAACACUGACCUUACGGUCAGCAGACGGUACCUGCGUAAGACGCCCCGGCUAACUACGUGCCAGCAGCCGCGGUAAUACGUAGGGGGCAAGCGUUAUCCGGAUUUACUGGGUGUAAAGGGAGCGUAGACGGUGCGCCAAGUCUGGAGUGAAAUGCCGCAGCUUAACUGCGGGACUGCUUUGGAAACUGGCGAACUAGAGUGCGGGAGGGGUAAGCGGAAUUCCGAGUGUAGCGGUGAAAUGCGUAGAUAUUAGGAGGAACACCAGUGGCGAAGGCGGCUUACUGGACCGUAACUGACGUUGAGGCUCGAAAGCGUGGGGAGCAAACAGGAUUAGAUACCCCUGUAGUC